rnacentral:rRNA from 1 species
CCUGGCUUAGGACGAACGCUGGCGGCGUGCCUAAUACAUGCAAGUCGAACGGUCUUUCUAUGGAAGCUUGCUUCCACUGAGAAGAUAGUGGCGAACGGGUGAGGUAACACGUGGGGUAACCUGCCCAUAAGAGGGGGAUAACAUCCGGAAACGGGUGCUAAUACCGCAUAGUUUUCUUGAUUGCAUGAUGAGAAAGGAAAGACGGCCUUUGUGCUGUCGCUUAUGGAUGGACCCGCGGCGUAUUAGUUAGUUGGUGAGGUAACGGCUCACCAAGACGAUGAUACGUAGCCGACCUGAGAGGGUGAUCGGCCACAUUGGGACUGAGACACGGCCCAAACUCCUACGGGAGGCAGCAGUAGGGAAUCUUCCGCAAUGGACGAAAGUCUGACGGAGCAACGCCGCGUGAGUGAAGAAAGGUUUUCGGAUCGUAAAACUCUGUUGUCAGAGAAGAACAAGUUGGAGAGUAACUGCUCCAGCCUUGACGGUAUCUGACCAGAAAGCCACGGCUAACUACGUGCCAGCCGCUGC